GUAUAUAUAUCUCAGUGGUAGAGCACCUGCUUAGCAUGCACAAGGUCCUGGGUUCAAUCCCCAGUACCUCCA
rfam:Camelus ferus unplaced genomic scaffold scaffold726, whole genome shotgun sequence.